rnacentral:rRNA from 1 species
GACGAACGCUGGCGGCGUGCUUAACACAUGCAAGUCGAACGGUAAGGCCCCAGCUUGCUGGGGUACACGAGUGGCGAACGGGUGAGUAACACGUGGGUGACCUGCCCCGCACUUCGGGAUAAGCCUGGGAAACUGGGUCUAAUACCGGGUAGGACCGCACCGUGGGGGGGGGGUGGAAAGUUUUUCGGUGUGGGGUGGGCCCGCGGCCUAUCAGCUUGUUGGUGGGGUAAUGGCCUACCAAGGCGGCGACGGGUAGCCGGCCUGAGAGGGUGGACGGCCACAUUGGGACUGAGACACGGCCCAGACUCCUACGGGAGGCAGCAGUGGGGAAUAUUGCACAAUGGGCGGAAGCCUGAUGCAGCGACGCCGCGUGGGGGAUGACGGCCUUCGGGUUGUAAACUCCUUUCACCAUCGACGAAGGUUUUCUGACGGUAGAUGGAGAAGAAGCACCGGCUAACUACGUG